AGAGUUGAUCAUGGCUCAGAACGAACGCUGGUGGCGUGUCUUAUACAUGCAAGUCGAGCGAGGCAGCAAUGCCGAGCGGCGAACGGGUGAGUAACGCGUAAGCAAUCUGCCCCAUAUCAGGAAAUACCCGUGCCAACGCGCGGUUAAUGUCCAGGAGAGUGGCCUUCUGCAUGGAAGGUUGACUAGAGAUUUAUCGGUAUGGGAUGAGCUUGCGUCCGAUUAGCUAGUUGGCGGGGCAACGGCCCACCAAGGCGACGAUCGGUAGCCGGCCUGAGAGGGUGAUCGGCCACAUUGGGACUGAGAUACGGCCCAGACUCCUACGGGAGGCAGCAGUAGGGAAUAUUGCACAAUGGGGGAAACCCUGAUGCAGCAACGCCACGUGUGGGAAGAAGCAUUUCGGUGUGUAAACCACUGUCAUGAGGGAAUAAGGCCCUUAUCCGUAAGGGAUUGAAUGUACCUUGAGAGGAAGCACCGGCAAACUUCGUGCCAGCAGCAGC
rnacentral:rRNA from 1 species